GCCGCUAUAGCUCAGUCGGUAGAGCAGUCCCUUGGUAUGGGACAGGUCAGAAGUUCAAUUCUUCUUGGCGGCACCA
rnacentral:tRNA from 1 species